GGGAAUAUUGCACAAUGGGGGAAACCCUGAUGCAGCGACGCCGCGUGAGCGAUGAAGUAUUUCGGUAUGUAAAGCUCUAUCAGCAGGGAAGAAAAUGACGGUACCUGACUAAGAAGCCCCGGCUAACUACGUGCCAGCAGCCGCGGUAAUACGUAGGGGGCAAGCGUUAUCCGGAUUUACUGGGUGUAAAGGGAGCGUAGACGGCGGUGCAAGCCAGAUGUGAAAGCCCGGGGCUCAACCCCGGGACUGCUUUGGAAACUGUGUAACUGGAGUACAGGAGGGGCAGGCGGAAUUCCUGGUGUAGCGGUGAAAUGCGUAGAUAUCAGGAGGAACACCGGCGGCGAAGGCGGCCUGCUGGACUGAAACUGACGUUGAGGCUCGAAAGCGUGGGGAGCAAACAGG
rnacentral:rRNA from 1 species